CAGAAACAGAGCAUCAUUAGCACAGUCGGAGUUUUCAAACUGGAUGUUGAAGUGGAAGCCGGAGUACUGUCCUCCAUCUGUCUUCAGCCUCUGUUGCGCGUAACGGAUCGCUGGCGCGACUCUUGUAUAUGAAAAAAGUUGAUCCUGCCAAGCUCGGCGAUUCCUCCAGCACAGCCAGCAGCCACCACACACGCUGGCUCCGGCCUGGAGUUUUGAAGCAUCUUUUCAGGAUUAUUCCUGCGUCAUCGGAGCGGUGCCCACCUCCUUCUUAAAGCUACACUGCUGAUGGUUUCACAAUGAGCCACUUGAACACAGGACGAGUUUAUGCAGUUAGCAGGAAUUAUAGUUCUGUGCGCAUGAAACAACCACCAAAAUACACAACCUCCCUGUGUGGAUUUCAAAGAAUCAUUUAUUCAAGAUGAACAUCUGCCAGAGCCACAGACACUAUAAAAAACUACUGUGACAGUGCCAAGCAAAUGCACAUUAAAGACAGUGAAUGGCUAAUUUGCAAAAAUGGAUAAGGCAUAGAAAACGAUAGUUUGAAUUAAUGAAAUGAUUGAUUAUGCUUGUUUUUAGUUUAUUUUUUAAAUUACGUUUACUGUGAACAGAGAGUAGCUCAUUUGUCCUUAUCAAUUCAUAAAAGCACAUUUGUCUCACACGGUCUCCUAUUACAUUGCCUUAAAUCAGAUAUGCUGAAGGCCAUUAAAAGUGAUGCCCUUCGAUAUAUACUAAUAUUUUCUAACCUGUGAACACUUGGAACAGGGACAAUGUAACAAUUUGUCUCCUUGGCAGAAGGUGCUAAGGUAUUACAUAUGCACUGUAGAAUUUUGUCUCCACACAAGAACUAUAGAGGUGAUGGUGUCUACAUACAUUCUAAUCCAGUUUCUGCAACAGAAAUUACAUCCAUAAAAAGUUCUCAGAUCACACUUGUGUGAACAAUGAUAUACACAUCUUCAUCUGUAAGAAGUGUGGCUUAUGUUAUAAAAAGACAACAAUUCAGA